GACGAACGCUGGCGGCGUGCUUAACACAUGCAAGUCGUACGGUAAGGCCCUUUCGGGGGUACACGAGUGGCGAACGGGUGAGUAACACGUGAGUAACCUGCCCACAACUUUGGGAUAACGCUAGGAAACUGGUGCUGAUACUGGAUAUGUGCUCCUGCUGCAUGGUGGGGGUUGGAAAGCUCCGGCGGUUGUGGAUGGGCUCGCGGCCUAUCAGCUUGUUGGUGGGGUAGUGGCCUACCAAGGCGGCGACGGGUAGCCGGCCUGAGAGGGUGACCGGCCACAUUGGGACUGAGAUACGGCCCAGACUCCUACGGGAGGCAGCAGUGGGGAAUAUUGCACAAUGGGCGCAAGCCUGAUGCAGCAACGCCGCGUGCGGGAUGACGGCCUUCGGGUUGUAAACCGCUUUCAGCAGGGACGAAGCUUUUUGUGACGGUACCUGCAGAAGAAGCACCGGCUAACUACGUG
rnacentral:rRNA from 1 species